UGCAACACUUAGACAAGACAACACCUAAGUAAAAGUUACAGCAAAGUCUAUAGUUUUCAGGACAAGGCAAUUAUUUGUCGUAUUUUCAAAGUUGGUUGUGCUUGUCAUCAAUUGUUUCUCUAGGUGGUGUGUGAUGGCCAUGUAGGAGGAAGGACAUGAGAGUGAAGCCUUCACAGGCCUCCACAGAAAACUGCUUUGUGGUCUUUCCGUAUGGCAUCACAGAAAAAGAAGAUUUGCCUAAGGAAUAAUUGUAAGAAAAAAUAGAUUACUGCAAGGUUUAUUGGCUGUACGUAUGAUUUAUUUUUUUUAACAGAUUUGCUUGAAAUACUGAACGAGGAGAUGAGAAAUGCUUUCAUGUUUUUCUGUUACUUAGAGCUUUGAUGUUUCUGUGUUGGGUGCUACCAGAAAGGAAAUAACCAGCUAUAUAAUAGUUUCAGUGGGCAGAAGCUCCAAAACUUGCAUGGAAAUUUUCUUAUGACAUCAAGAACAGUGUCUCUGAUGCUACAGUCAACACACCUUGGUUCUUGGAGAAUUUCUCAUCAAAACAGAUAUGUUUCUGAAAGCAAGAAAUUCAAGUCUGACAGACUUUAGUGAAAAUUGAUUUUGUUUAAAAAUUCUUGCCCUGUCUACAGCUUGCAGAGACAUGCUUUACCAUUUGUUUAAUUAUCUUUGGGGUUAAUUUUUGUCUAGGAUCUUGCAGAACAAAAGCUGUAUUAUGUUAAGAACACCUCAUCCAGAGAUAAUAAGCCAAACAUGUUUAUUCUAUUAGAUGUCCUAUAGUCUCCUAACAUUGACAAAAUGAGGCUGAAUGUUUGCACAUGAUCUAAACUAGAAUAUGUGAAAUCAAGUUCUUGUCUGGGCACAAAUGAUUUAGGACCAGGAGAAGUCUGAUUUGAGUGGAAGGAGUUACUAUAGUCAUAACCAACAGAACUCUAAACUGCACUAGACUGAAAGUGAUAAUUUCCAAAGACCACUCACAGUAAAAAUUUACUGGUUUAUGCUGGAGGAAACUGAGGUAAAAGGAGGUCAGAUCAGCACAGCAACACGCUGCCACAUGUGCUGUUCCUGAGUGAAGGGCAGUCAGUUAAACAUGGUGAGCCUACCACUGGUGGAAAAGUAAAGCUCUGAGAGUGGAUCCCUUGACACCGUGGCAGCAUUUCUGACCUUAAUCAGUCCUGAGAGGGAUCUGAUGAGUUGAAAGGCAGGGCAUCUGUUACAUUAUAGCCAAAUUAUCUUUUAAAAAUUGAGAGAGGGAAAAAUAGAAAUCCACAUGGUACAAAACUUUUGGUUCUGUUAUUAUACUUUGCAAUUGUUCUGAUUUUAAGGAAAAGUAAACCCAAAUAAUUAGGCAAUCCAUUAUUAGGAGGUUGAUGAUCAAAUGAAUGCACUGAGUUGGCAGUUGUUGCCCACAUGUAAGUGUCUAUUGAUGAUAUUAAAUGCUCUAGGGUAGAUUAGACAUCUGCAAGGGACUGUGCCAUUUUGAAAGAGAAGCUGCAGGCCAGAUCAAUCCAGGCAACCUAGCAUUAUCUGACAUCUGGCAUUAGGUGCGUAUAAGAUAGGAUUUAGUUCAGAUGUCUAAAUAUAGAUAUCUAUGCUUAAGACAAGGUGCCCAGACUCUGACAUAAGUCAAUAGAAAGCUACUCUAUAGGGUAAUGAAAUGUAGAGGAUGAUAAACUUUAUGCCAAAUAGGCAGCUGUUGGCUGGUCAAAUGAAAGUCCGUAGGUUUAACCGACUAUGUGCUAAGUCUCCAUUGAUUCCAAUGGACAUUUGGGCGUACAGGAGCUACAUGUACGUUUAGGUAUCUUAACUUUGACUCGAAUUCUACCCAGCUAAGUCUGAACUGGUGCAAAGACCUGACUGCAACAGUGUCAUUGGAAGUCUGCUCUCUCUGGAGGCUCCUGAGUUGUGUAACAACUCUGUGUCUAUGUAACCAGAUAGAUGCAUUCAAUGAUCUAGGCUCUGGUUUUGGUCCCUCCAUCCUUCAGACUAAUAGAAAUCAGCAAGUUUUCCUCCCUCCUGAUGGCCAGUAUUUCUUACAAUAAUAUAUACUGCAUGACAGGAUGCAGUGCCUUUAGAGUCCCUUAUCAUACAUCCAUGACUGGAUAUGCUAUAGAGUGUGUUGCUGUUUGUUUACUAGUCACGAGGGUAGAGAAAAAUGAACAAAGUAAACUGUUUACUGUGUUUUGUCAAGUUGCAUACAGAGGAAAUAAUGGAAAUGCAGAUCAUGAACAAUGAAAUUGUGAUGGAAUCUUCUCAUUCAAGAAAUAGCUUUGCUUUUCUCAUAACAUGUCUAGGAUAUGUUAUAAAUAGGACACAGAAACUUAUAAAGAAGUUUACCUUGAAAUUAAGAUCAGGUACGAAAAUUCUAUGUCUGAAAGAAUGCGCAGAAGAAAAUUGACCUUCUGGCUAUUUUCAGAGAAUCCUAUCUAUUUAUGUCCCAUCACCAUUACGUUUUUUCAGGGCAGAACAGAUUGUUUCUCCUGUUUAUAGAAUACUAUAAAAUUUCUUUGUCUU
ensembl:lncRNA